UGAAAUGCUUCUCCAUUAUAAAAAUCCCUACGUUUUUUCAUUUUUCACUUUUCUUCUUCUUUUUCAAAUCCCUAACUUCUCAUACUCACAUACCAUUUCCAUCUUCAUUCUUAUUAAUAUUCAUAAGACAAAAAUGGUUUCUUCUUCCACACCAACACUUGCAAUCCCAAUUGCUUCUGAAAUUAAUGCUCUCAUCGUUGUUGGUAAACACAUCUACAUUUCUGAGCCAUAAAUAUAGGAGGAGAAAGUGAUGAUUUGGGCUUCUCAGACUCGCUUCAAGGAGAGUACACGUACACAUAUCAAAGAAAUUCAGGCUUUCCAAUGUUACUUUAAGGGUGUAUAUAAUCUUUGUGAUAUUCGUCGAACUGUUUAUGAUGUAGCUCUUACUUUAAAACAAAAAUUACAGAAAAACUUCCAACUUUGAAAAUCUUUUCUUAUGUAACUGAUAGGUUGA